UCUCACUCCAAAAUGUCCUACUACCUCAGCUCCUUCUGUAACAUUGCUGCACAGGUAUGCACAUUUAGCUCAUGGUUUAUGCUUCUAUCAUUCCAGUUGAGCAUCCCUAACUGCACCUGACAGGAACCCCCCGCAGGUUGGCCUACAUGCAGAAGUUCAAGCCCUUCAGGCCCUCCUCUGAAGCUGAUGGGACUCUCUCUGUAGUGAACGCUUCCUGUAAGGCUGCAGGUAGUGCUGCCCUUGGACAAGAAGACAACUGCAUGAGAAAGCCAUGUUGCCGCCCACACGUCAGAUAACUGCUGGUAACCAACCCUCACUGCACAGCCAGCCAUAGUGGUGGCAUGGUGUAACUCAAGGAGCUGGAGCGAGAAGCAUGCAUCCAUAUGCUGGUGGAAGCAUCCAUCCUAUUGCAGAGCCAGGCCCUUUGGCUGAAGCAAUGUAGAGAUGGGAGUCAUGGAAGUCAUUCCUCUCAGCCUACAGCAGACCAGAUGAACUUACUUCUCCACGUUUUUCACUCCCAGGAUUGCUGAAUUUUAUGCCGUCAAACCCUUCAUUUUAAAGUCAAUUUCAAAUCUUGCAACAGAAGAUGGUUUCUGUCGCUGUGUUUAUAGCCAGUAAGAGACAAGGUUACCCCUGAGCUGCAUAACAAACUGAUACAACAUCCUAUACAGCCUGGUUUCCUUCUCAUGAGACUUAGUUCCUCAGACAACAAGCAAAUACAUCACUCCACUUGCUUGGAGAGGACUUUCACUUCCUUCUGAUGUACACUACCUCAAGAAUGAUUAAACUUUGGGCUUAUUUUGCAAAAUGCAUUUCUGCUUCACCCAGCAGCUCUGCAUUGUGGCACCAUUGCUGGCUGAGCUGCAGGUCUGCAAGGACGCCUGUGCACGUUCCAGAGUAUGCAAGUGAGACACUUCUGCCUCCUCGCUGCUCAGAAGGACGUGGCACGGGGCUCGGCACUACAGUCUUGGAGAAGUAAGCACAACUUCGGUCUCUCCCUGCCAUCUCCCCAGGAACACACAGUGCAUUACAACUUUGGGCAUCAGUCCUUCUUUUCUUGCCUAAAAAUAGAGCUGGAAUGGGACUGUUUGAGACACAGCCUUAUGGUAAACAAGGAAAUUGAGCACACAACCACACAAAGCUUUGUUUAUUUUUCUGUCAGGAUAUGUAAACUGUUAAAAUAUAUUGACUGUAGUUUAUUAUUUUGGAGCCAAUUCCCAACAAGUUUAAGAAAACCUGCUGCUGCUCGGCUGCUCCAGCACACUGCAGAUCUCAAAGGCUACUUGCACGAUUACAGGCUUUACUGCAGCAGGCAUUUUGAUUCAUUUAGCACACAAGGUAAAAGACGUGUAGCUCUAUGCCAACUAGUAUAAACAUUUAUAUUACGAUUGCCUAAAAUUGUCCAUUAUAACCUAAUUUUCAAUUGUCUAUGGGGUAGGCAAACAUUUGCCUGUUUUUAUGUCAGAUUGAAAGUAGAAAUCCAUUUUCAUGGACAAAAAACCCACCCAAACAGCCCAGCCUGACUCAGAGCCACACAGAACAUAGCAUGCUGGACCUGUCACAAAGAGCUGAGACUCUCAGGUUGGAUGGAUGCUCAGCUUCACCUGGAACACCAGUUGCAGGUUUGAUCACCACAGAAUAACAAGGACAUAAAGCUAUCUGAGAGUGUCCAAAGGAGGGUAACAAAGAUGGGGAGGGAUCUAGAAGAGAAGAUGUAUGAGGAGCAGCUGAGGUCCCUGAGGCUGAGGUGUGCUCAGCGCAGAGCAGAGGA